rnacentral:misc_RNA from 1 species
UCUCCGUAGGUGAACCUGCGGAGGGAUCAUUACAGAGUUCAUGCCCUACCGGGUAGAUCUCCCACCCUAUUUUAUUAUUACUUUGUUUCUUUGGCGGGCCGUUAUGAUCCGGCCCGAGUACCGGCCCCGGCUGGUAAGCGACCGCCCGAGGACCCAAAACCCUGAAUAUUAGUGUCGUCUGAGUACUAUAUAAUAGUUAAAACUUUCAACAACGGAUCUCUUGGUUCUG